AGCGGCGGACGGGUGAGUAACACGUAGGUAACCUACCUAUAAGACUGGGAUAACUUCGGGAAACCGGAGCUAAUACCGGAUAAUAUUUCGAACCGCAUGGUUCGAUAGUGAAAGAUGGCUUUGCUAUCACUUAUAGAUGGACCUGCGCCGUAUUAGCUAGUUGGUAAGGUAACGGCUUACCAAGGCAACGAUACGUAGCCGACCUGAGAGGGUGAUCGGCCACACUGGAACUGAGACACGGUCCAGACUCCUACGGGAGGCAGCAGUAGGGAAUCUUCCGCAAUGGGCGAAAGCCUGACGGAGCAACGCCGCGUGAGUGAUGAAGGUCUUCGGAUCGUAAAACUCUGUUAUUAGGGAAGAACAAACGUGUAAGUAACUGUGCACGUCUUGACGGUACCUAAUCAGAAAGCCACGGCUAACUACGUGCCAGCAGCCGCGGUAAUACGUAGGUGGCAAGCGUUAUCCGGAAUUAUUGGGCGUAAAGCGCGCGUAGGCGGUUUUUUAAGUCUGAUGUGAAAGCCCACGGCUCAACCGUGGAGGGUCAUUGGAAACUGGAAAACUUGAGUGCAGAAGAGGAAAGUGGAAUUCCAUGUGUAGCGGUGAAAUGCGCAGAGAUAUGGAGGAACACCAGUGGCGAAGGCGACUUUCUGGUCUGUAACUGACGCUGAUGUGCGAAAGC
rnacentral:rRNA from 1 species